UACGUAGGGUGCGAGCGUUAAUCGGAAUUAUUGGGCGUAAAGAGCUCGUAGGCGGUUUGUCGCGUCUGCUGUGAAAACUCGGGGCUUAACCCCGGGCCUGCAGUGGGUACGGGCAGACUAGAGUGCGGUAGGGGAGACUGGAAUUCCUGGUGUAGCGGUGAAAUGCGCAGAUAUCAGGAGGAACACCAGUGGCGAAGGCGGCUCACUGGCCCGUUACCGACGCUCAGGCGCGACAGCGUGGGGAGCAAACAGG
rnacentral:rRNA from 1 species